rnacentral:rRNA from 1 species
GACAGAGGGGGCAAGCGUUGCUCGGAAUUACUGGGCGUAAAGCGUGCGCAGGCGGUCUUGUAAGCCAGAUGUGAAAGCCCCGGGCUCAACCUGGGAACUGCAUUUGGGACUGCAAGGCUGGAGUACGGCAGAGGGAGGUGGAAUUCCACGUGUAGCAGUGAAAUGCGUAGAGAUGUGGAGGAACACCGAUGGCGAAGGCAGCCUCCUGGGCUAGUACUGACGCUCAUGCACGAAAGCGUGGGGAGCAAACAGG